rnacentral:rRNA from 1 species
UGGGGAAUAUUGCACAAUGGGCGCAAGCCUGAUGCAGCGACGCCGCGUGAGGGAUGACGGCCUUCGGGUUGUAAACCUCUUUCCGUAGGGAAGAAGCGAAAGUGACGGUACCUGCAGAAGAAGCGCCGGCUAACUACGUGCCAGCAGCCGCGGUAAUACGUAGGGCGCAAGCGUUAUCCGGAAUUAUUGGGCGUAAAGAGCUCGUAGGCGGUUUGUCGCGUCUGCCGUGAAAGUCCGGGGCUCAACUCCGGAUCUGCGGUGGGUACGGGCAGACUAGAGUGAUGUAGGGGAGACUGGAAUUCCUGGUGUAGCGGUGAAAUGCGCAGAUAUCAGGAGGAACACCGAUGGCGAAGGCAGGUCUCUGGGCAUUAACUGACGCUGAGGAGCGAAAGCAUGGGGAGCGAACA